rnacentral:rRNA from 1 species
AUGAAUUUUAAACAACUUGAUCAUGAGCAUGUUGCCCAAUCUUGGGAAAGAAUGAAAUUGAUGAUUCGUAAUUGCCCUACUCAUGGUUUGAAUUUAUGGAUGAUCAUACAAAAAAUUUAUGCCGGGUUGAAUUUUGCUUCUAGAAAUCUUUUAGAUUCGUCCGCGGGAGGCAUGUUUAUGGAAAUAACCUUAGGAGAAGCUACAAAACUCCUUGAUAAUAUCAUGGUUAAUUAUUCUCAAUGGCACACCGAACGAUCUACUAGUAAAAAAGUGCAUGCUAUAGAAGAAAUUAAUGUUUUGAGUGGAAAGAUGGAUGAGGUUAUGAGAUUGUUUGCUACUAAGAGUUCUUCUAUUGAUCCCAAUGAUAUGCCUUUAUCUACCUUGAUUGAGAAUAAUAAUGAAUCUAUGGAUAUAAAUUUUGUUGGUAGGAAUAAUUUUGGUAACAAUGCUUAUAGAGGAAACUUUAAUUCUAGACCGUUCCCUAGUAAUUCCUCUAAUAAUUAUGGAAAUUCCUACAAUAAUUCUUAUGGUAAUUUUAAUAAGAUUCCCUCUGAUUUUGAUAAUAGUGUGAAAGAAUUUAUGAUCUCUCAAAAGAAUUUUAAUGCCUUGCUUGAAGAAAAAAUUCUCAAAGUUGAUGAUUUGGCUAGGAACAUUGAUAGACUUUCGCUUGAUGUUGAUUCUCUUAAACUUAUAUCUACUUCCCCUAAGCAUGAUAUCAAUGAUUCUAUCAAAGCAAUGAGAGUGUCCAUUGACAUGUGCAAAGAAAGAACCGCUAGAUUGCGUGCUAAGAAAGAUUGCUUUGUAAAAGCGUGUUCUUCUAGUUUCCAUGAAAAUAAUGAUGAAGAUCUUAAAGUUAUUGAUGUGUCCCCUAUUAGAUCUUUGUUUCGCAAUAUGAAUCUUAAUAAUAAUGUGACUGGAGAUGAGUCAACUUUAGUUAGAAGCCGUCCCAAUAAUUCGGAGUUUUUAGAUCUUGAUGCUAAAUUUGGUAAAAGUGGGAUUGUAGAGGUCAAGACCUUAAAUAGCAUUCAACCCACUAUCUUGGAUUUCAAGGAAUUUAAUUAUGCUAAUUGUUCUUUAGAAAGUUGUAUUUCCUUGUUGCAAUCCGUUGUUAAUUCUCCUCAUGCUUAUAGUCAAAAUAAAGCCUUUACCAAACAUAUUGUGAUGCCUUGA